UACCAGUCGCCAAGCACACUAGGGAGUGAAAGGAAGUCCCGGAGAGGUAAGGGAGACAGUUUGCAGCAAGGGAAGAACAGAAGAAAUGGGAGGGAGCGUGCUCAGUGAAUGCCAGCUGGUUCUUAGAUACGCUCCAGCCCGGCCUGUUUAUCUCGUGAGCUUCAGAAGGCAAGCCGCCCCCGCCCGCCAUGGCUCCUUCCCCGUGUGAUUACAUCUUUCCUUGAUCCCACUGACAGAGCAUUGCUGUUGAGUUGGUGUGGAUGCUGCUGAAUGCUCACUGUCACCUUCUGUAUUCAUCUUGGGGAGCAGUAACCCAGCCUGUCGGGGCCUCCUGCACAGACCGCCCUUUGAAUGGUACCGUCGGGAGCCCCGUGGGAUAGUCUGUCAGCCCCCACGUCAGUGGGACUCUGCCACUUCCAGAGACAGAGACCCGAGAUCGGAUCCCAGUGAAGAGGCGGGACUCCUCCCAAGGGGACAGAGCAGACUGCUUUACGAGAGCCAAGGGGCCCUCUUUCCCAAAAGCACUGGAUGUCAGAACAGAGGGGCUGGGAAUCUGAACACGAGUGAAGGUUUCCCAGGAGAAACUCUCCUGGCAAGGCCGCUGGAGAGAGAAAGCUCACCUCAGCCUCCGACCAGUUGACCAAGUGUCAAGUCUUUCAUUAAGAUUUGCUGACCAAAGAGGAGAGGGACGAGGGUUCCCUCUGUUCCUCCAUGGUGUCCAAGCUCAGCGUGGGGCUCGGGAGCACCAGACAGCUGGGAAGUCUGUGCUCUCUGGGCUGUAGCACCGUAAGCCUCGCAGGCACGACCCUGGGGCACUGGGCUGUCGGGAGAACAGGGGUCUCUGAUUCAUCAUCAGUAACGUGGCGGCGACAGCCCUGCAGUCGUGGUCGUUUGCUGGGGAGGCUCUUACAAGACCCCACAGGAUGAGUGGUGUAAACAACAGAAUUUUCCUUCCUCGCCGACCCUUCCCUCCCGGCCUCAGAAGGAACCAGCUCUGCCCACACCUUGACUGCAGAUUUCUAGCCGCCACAGCCGUGAGGAAAGAAAUUUCACCUGCAGUGAAAUGGGGGGUGAGCCUGCGAUCCCCCCAGGUUCAGCCUGAUUGUAAGCAGAUUAAGGCUCAGCGUAGAACUCUCGUGGUGCGGCCUUCUGAGGCGGCUGAAUGUGGGACUUCGACCGUGUAAUCUUUCCAAGUUAAAAUGUAUUUAUAAAGCACAGAUAAUAAAAAUAACAUCUAUUUAUCUCCCUAGGUGUUCUGAGCCUUCAGUGACGCUGGCAGCGAUGAUGCAUUACAAAACCAAACAAAUUAGUCCUCGGGACAGACGACCCGGGGGCAAAUCAACCACCACAACAGAAAAGACAAGCUUUCAAACCAACGAGAGAAGACAAGACUGUAAUGCCUUCCUAACAACCUUGCUUUAUUGAUGCAAUGCAAGGAAAACUACAUUAGAUUCUAUUGAUUCUCUUUGAGAUCUAAUAAUAUGCUCUAUUCAGAUCUUAUUCACAUACACUUCCUCCACAGUCUUUCUCAGGAGCUGAAAUUGGCCAGUUACAAGCAGAAUUUGUUCUCCUGUCCUUUGAAAUCACAGAAGCGGACGUGUUUUCGAACACAAAAGAUACGAAGCUUUCUUUGGGAAACAAAGCACAGUGGGGAAAAAUAUCUCCCCUCUAAACAAAAUUGAAAGCAUUUCUUACUUCAGAUUUAUUUGAUUACAGAAUCUUCCUCGGGGCUAAUCAGUUUUCGAACCCAUUCCUAUUGGCACCAGUGAGCUAAUAAAAAACCCAGAAGGAGAGAAGUAUCACAACAACUCAGAGAAACAAGGUUGUUCAUUAAAAAAAAAAAAAAAAAAGCAUUGAAUUAAUGUUUACACUGCUGAGUCAAAUUAUUUAUAUGUAUGCUAUAGGUUUUGCAUCCCCAGAAUUUGUUAGCAUUCAGAGUAUGAUAAAUUGUACCUGACUGACUUGUGAAAAAUCAUCUCGAGAAAGAUUUUUUUUUUUUCCAGUGGGAAAAUAUAUGGAUGACACACGGUGGCUUAUUGAAACUGUUCUUUGGGUGAACAGCCAGAACAAUUCAGCAGAAGGGAGAGGCGGAUUUACAAAUUAUUCUUUUUUAUUUUUUGAGAGAGAGAAUGAGCAGGGGAGGGGCAGAGAGACAGGCAGAGAGAGAAUCCCAAGCAGGCUCCACACCGUCAGCACAGAACCCGAUGCAGGGCUCGAACUCACGAACCAUGAGAUCAUGACCUGAGCCGAAACCAGGAGUCAGACGCUCAACUGACGAGCCCCCCAGGCGCCCCAAGGAGAGGCGGGGUCUUGGAUGUCACAGUGGAUGAUUAAGAAUUUUGGCUUUGGGGCAGUGUUGUAAUAAUGCUCAUCAGGUAACUUCUGUACCUCGUCUGCAUCUCUACAGUAGGUUGGAAAACUCAGGGUUUUCUGCAAAUAUUCAAAGCAAUAAAACACACAGUACUACAGGAGCCCGUCCAGAGUUAAGAAUCUAAUAAAUGUCAGCUUUUGUAUCCUUAUUAUUACAGAGAAUCUCUUAUUUAUAUUUCAUCUGCAGAAAAAUUACAAAAAGGAUUAAGUAUGUUGAAAAAAAAAAUAAAAGUAGGUCUCGGGCCUCCUUAACACCCGUGCCGUGUCAGUUCUAAGAAGGGGUGUUAACACGGGUUAGCAAGCCUGUGGAGAACCCAGAGCCCUCGUGUGUUGCUGGCGGGGAGGUUAGAGGGUGUGGACCCCUUGGAAAACUGGUGGUUCCUUGAAAGUUAAACACGGAGUUACUAUCUGGCCCAGCAGUUCCACUCCUGACUGCAU